rnacentral:lncRNA from 1 species
ACCACUACCCACCCACCACCAUCGGGGUUGGGAUCUGUCAGGCGCUUCUGCUUGGUAUCUGCGAUUCUCUGCCUCUUUCUGUCGUCAGUGCCCAUCGCUGCUGGGGGAAGCUCCGUAAUUAGGACCCUGGUGUCCAGGAACCGGAAAUGGUGAGCGCAUGGCGUCCUGACCUGGGCUCAGUGUUGGCACACCGCACCUUCCCGCCUGGCCCCUCCGGACGGUCCCGUCCAGCCAGGCACUGGUGUCCUGCCAGGGCUGAUGGGUUUUCAGGCACCUGGGCCGGGGUGGCCGAGAAAGGCUUUUGAGAGUGGCCUGGCCAAGGCGUGCUGCGGAAAGAGCAGUCGUCGCUGCAUCUAGGCCAGUGCGUUCCCGGACUCGCGCUGUGUUUUCUGCUGGGUUCUGAGUACGCCUUUGGGUGUGUGUGUCUGUUUUCAUGUCUUUGUGGUUUUUGAACCGGACUCUCCAAAUCUAGGUGUACGAGCGCCUGCCAGCACUAUGGCUUUGCUGUCGCGAAGCAUUUCCUUAAGUCACUUGGGUUCUCUAGGACGUUGGCUGUGUGAAUCUUCUACCAUUAUUGAGAAGGCAGUGGCUUAUUACCUCCCUACCUCUUCUCCACUGCUCAUCACCUGCGGAGGUGGGUCCAGGGCUAGCUUGUAUGCGUCUGCCUUUAUGUGUCUGGGGAUUGAUCUGAAUCUGUGUGAUAUGUCUGUAUAUAUGGCAUUGAGGAUGGAAUACCUGGAGAUUUGUGCAUAUUAGACAAAUUCUGUGCCAGGAUAGAGACAGGGUCCCAGUGUAGGCCAGUGUGGCCUUGAAUUUGCUAUCUUCCUAUAUUGGCUUCUAAAAUGUCUGGGAUUAUACUCAUGCACCAUCAGGGCUCAUACUGGGUCCUUUUUGUGUAGAAGAUUUGGAGAGCAGUGGGAUGCUUUAAGUGGGGUUUAAUGAGCUGUCCUAGUAGGAAUAUGGAAGACCUUGUUGCUUUGAGUGAUUUGAACUGUGCGGACCUGACCAAAGAGGUUUCAGUGGCGAAGAACUUCAGUAUGUGGCCUAGAGACUGCUUUUGUAAUAUUUUGGUGAAGUUUGUGGCUGCUUUUUGCCCUUGUCUGAAGAGUCUGCCUGAGGCUAAGGUGCAUUGACAAAGGAAUUCUCAGAAACACCCAUCAUAGACUUUGUUCUCUGGUUAAGUCUCAGGAGCAUUUUUGAAUAAGUUUAGAAAGGAAAAA